GUGAGUGCAGGGGGUAGUGGUAGGGUGUGGUCAGGGGCUAGGUGAGUGCAGGGGGUAGUGUUAGGGUAUAGUCAGGGGCUAGGUGGGAGUAGGGGGUAGUGGUAGGGUGUAGUCAGGGGCUAGGUGAGGGUAGGGGGUAGCGGUAGGGUGUAGUCAGGGGCUAGGUGAGUAGGGGGUAGUGGUAGGGUGUAGUCAGAGGCUAGGUGAGUAGAGCGUAGUGGUAGGGUGUAGUCAGGGGCUAGGUGAGAGUAGGGGUAGUGGUAGGGUAUAGUCAGGGGCUAGGUGAGAGCAGGGGGUAGUGGUAGGGUGUUGUCAGGGGCUAGGUGAGAGUAGGGGGUAGAGGUAGGGUGUGGUCAGGGGCUAGGUGAGAUAAGGGGGUAGCGGUAGGGUGUAGUCAGGGGCUAGGUGAGAUAAGGGGGUAGUGGUAGGGUGUAGUCAGGGGCUAGGUGAGAGUAGGGGGUAGCGGUAGGGUGUUGUCAGGGGCUAGGUGAGAAGUAGGGGUAGCGGUAGGGUGUUGUCAGGGGCUAGGUGAGAGUAGGGGGUAGCGGUAGAGUGUUGUCAGGGGCUAGGCGAGAGUAGAGAGUAGGGGUAGUGGUUGGAUAUAGUCAGGGGCUAGGUGAGAGUAGGGCGUAACGGUAGGGUGUAGUCAGGGGCUAGGUAAUAGCAGGGGUAGCGGUAGGGUGUAGUCAUGGGCUAGGUGAGUAGGGGUUGGUGGUAGGGUGUUGUCAGGGGCUAGGUGAGUAGGGGGUAACGGUAGGGCGUGGUCAGGGGCUAGGUGAGUAGGGGGUAGAAGUAGGGUGUGGUCAGGGGCUAGGUGAGAGCAGGGGGUAGUGGUAGGGUGUGGUCAGGGGCUAGGUGAGAGCAGGGGGUAGUGGUAGGGUGUAGUCAGGGGCUAGGUGAGAGCAGGGGUAGUGGUAGGGUGUGGUCAGGGGCUAGGUGAGAGCAGAGGGUAGUGGUAGGGUAUAGUCAGGGGCUAGGUGAGUAGGGGGUCGUGGCAGGGUGUAAUCAGGGGCUAGGUGAGUAGGGGGUAGUGGUAGGGUGUAGUCAGGGGCUAGGUGAGAGCAGGGGUCAGUGGUAGGGUGUGGUCAAGUGCUAGGUGAGAGCAGGGGGUAGUGGUAGGGUAUAGUCAGGGGC
ensembl:lncRNA